rnacentral:rRNA from 1 species
GAGAAAGUGGAGCAUCCAUGAGUACAGUGGCGCACGGGUGAGUAACACGUGAAUGAUCUACCUCCGAGUGGGGAAUAACUGAGAGAAAUCUUAGCUAAUACCGCAUAAUACCCACGGGUCAAAGCAGCAAUGCGCUUGGAGAGGAGUUCGCGGCCGAUUAGCUAGUUGGCGGGGUAAUGGCCCACCAAGGCGAUGAUCGGUAUCCGGCCUGAGAGGGCGCACGGACACACUGGAACUGAAACACGGUCCAGACUCCUACGGGAGGCAGCAGUGGGGAAUUUUGCGCAAUGGGGGAAACCCUGACGCAGCAACGCCGCGUGGAGGAUGAAAUCCCUUGGGAUGUAAACUCCUUUCGAUAGGGAAGAUUAUGACGGUACCUAUAGAAGAAGCCCCGGCUAACUUCGUGCCAGCAGCCGCGGUAAUACGAGGGGGGCGAGCGUUGUUCGGAAUUAUUGGGCGUAAAGGGUGCGUAGGCGGUUUGGCAAGUCUGAUGUGAAAUCUAUGGGCUCAACUCAUAGUCUGCAUCGGAAACUGCCGGGCUUGAGUAUGGGAGAGGUUGGGUGGAAUUUCCGGUGUAGCGGUGAAAUGCGUAGAUAUCGGAAGGAACACCUGUGGCGAAAGCGGCUCACUGGACCAUAACUGACGCUGAUGCACGAAAGCUAGGGGAGCAAACAGGAUUAGAUACCCUGGUAGUCCUAGCCCUAAACGAUGAUCGCUUGAUGUGGCAGGUACCCAAUCCUGC